rnacentral:rRNA from 1 species
GACGAACGCUGGCGGCGUGCCUAAUACAUGCAAGUCGAACGCAUUUUCUUUCACCGUAGCUUGCUACACCGAAAGAAAAUGAGUGGCGAACGGGUGAGUAACACGUGGGUAACCUGCCCAUCAGCGGGGGAUAACACUUGGAAACAGGUGCUAAUACCGCAUAAUUCCAUUUACCGCAUGGUAAAUGGAUGAAAGGCGCUUUUGCGUCACUGAUGGAUGGACCCGCGGUGCAUUAGCUAGUUGGUGGGGUAACGGCCUACCAAGGCUGCGAUGCAUAGCCGACCUGAGAGGGUGAUCGGCCAAACUGGGACUGAGACACGGCCCAGACUCCUACGGGAGGCAGCAGUAGGGAAUCUUCGGAAAUGGACGCAAGUCUGACCGAGCAACGCCGCGUGAGUGAAGAAGGUUUUCGGAUCGUAAAACUCUGUUGUUAGAGAAGAACAAGGAUGAGAGUGGAAAGUUCAUCCCUUGACGGUAUCUAACCAGAAAGCCACGGCUAACUACGUG